rnacentral:rRNA from 1 species
AUUGAACGCUGGCGGCAUGCCUUACACAUGCAAGUCGAACGGUAACGGGCCUUCGGGUGCCGACGAGUGGCGAACGGGUGAGUAAUGUAUCGGAACGUACCUUUCAGUGGGGGAUAACGUAGCGAAAGUUACGCUAAUACCGCAUAUUCUGUGAGCAGGAAAGCAGGGGAUCGCAAGACCUUGCGCUGAUUGAGCGGCCGAUAUCAGAUUAGCUAGUUGGUGAGGUAAGGGCUCACCAAGGCGACGAUCUGCAGCGGGUCUGAGAGGAUGAUCCGCCACACUGGAACUGAGACACGGUCCAGACUCCUACGGGAGGCAGCAGUGGGGAAUUUUGGACAAUGGGGCAACCCUGAUCCAGCCAUGCCGCGUGAGUGAAGAAGGCCUUCGGGUUGUAAAGCUCUUUCGGCCGGGAAGAAAUCGUAUCAGCUAAUACCUGGUGCGGAUGACGGUACCGGCAUAAGAAGCACCGGCUAACUACGUGCCAGCCGCCGCAGUAAUAC